GCGGAUGUAGCUCAGCUGGAUAGAGCGUCGGUCUACGAAACCGAAGGUCGCAGGUUCGAACCCUGCCAUCCGCA
rnacentral:tRNA from 2 species